rnacentral:rRNA from 1 species
CACCGCGGUUAUACGAGAGGCUCAAGUUGACAGACAACGGCGUAAAGAGUGGUUAAGGAAAAUAUCUUACUAAAGCGGAACACCCUCACAGCUGUUAUACGCUUCCGAGGGCAUGAACCCCAACUACGAAGGUGGCUUUACAUUACCUGAACCCACGAAAGCUAAGAAA